GUAAUACAAGGCAKACGGCUCAGUAACACGUAGUCAACCUACCCUAUGGACRAGAAUAAUCUCGGGAAACUGAGCAUAAUUCUUGAUAGAUCAUAAUGCCUGGAAUGGUUUAUGGUUAAAAUGAUUCGUCGCCAUAGGAUGGGACUGCGGCCUAUCAGCUUGUUGGUGAGGUAAUGGCCCACCAAGGCGAUUACAGGUACGGGCUCUGAGAGGAGAAGCCCGGAGAUGGGUACUGAGACACGGACCCAGGCCCUAUGGGGCGCAGCAGGCGAGAAAACUUUGCAAUGUGCGAAAGCACGACAAGGUUAAUCCGAGUGAUUUCUGCUAAAGAAAUCUUUUGCCAGUCAUAAAACCACUGGUGAAUAAGGGGUGGGCAAGUUCUGGUGUCAGCCGCCGCGGUAAAACCAGCACCUCAAGUGGUCAGGAUGAUUAUUGGGCCUAAAGCAUCCGUAGCCGGCUUUGUWAGUUUUCGGUUAAAUCCAUGUGCUCAACGCAUGGGCUGCCGAAAAUACUGCAURGCUAGGGAGUGGGAGAGGUAGACGGUACUCAGUAGGWAGGGGUAAAAUCCUUUGAUCUAUUGAUGACCACCUGUGGCGAAGGCGGUCUACCAGAACACGUUCGACGGUGAGGGAUGAAAGCUGGGGGAGCAAACCGGAUUAGAUACCCGGGUAGUCCCAGCUUGUAAACGAUGCARACUCGAUGAUGCAUUGGCAUAUAGCCA
rnacentral:rRNA from 1 species